rnacentral:rRNA from 1 species
GGAAUAUUGGGCAAUGGGCGCAAGCCUGACCCAGCGACGCCGCGUGAGGGAUGAAGGUCUUCGGAUUGUAAACCUCUUUCAGUAGGGAAGAAGCGAAAGUGACGGUACCUAAAGAAGAAGCACCGGCUAACUAUGUGCCAGCAGCCGCGGUAAUACAUAGGGUGCAAGCGUUGUCCGGAAUUAUUGGGCGUAAAGAGCUCGUAGGUCGUUUGUCGCGUCGAUUGUGAAAAUCUGAGGCUCAACCUCAGACCUGCAGUCGAUACGGGCAAACUAGAGUGUGGUAGGGGAGACUGGAAUUCCUGGUGUAGCGGUGGAAUGCGCAGAUAUCAGGAGGAACACCAAUGGCGAAGGCAGGUCUCUGGGCCAUAACUGACACUGAGGAGCGAAAGUGCGGGGAGCGAACAGGAUUAGAUACCCUGGUAGUCCGCACCGUAAACGGUGGGCACUAGUUGUGGGAACCUUCCACGGUUUCCGCGACGCAGCAAACGCAUUAAGUGCCCCGCCUGGGGAGUACGAUCGCAAGAUUAAAACUCAAAGGAAUUGACGGA